AUGAUCUUUGUAGUCCUUCACGAUUCUGCACUUCGUUUGCAAAUCUAUAGCAGUGCGCUUUCUUUUCACCGGCAACGUCGUGCACUGCCGAUGAUCAGUGGGCGGAUCAGCCCUCUUCCAUUUCGCCGGCUAGUCAGACACGGCU
rnacentral:lncRNA from 1 species